UGUGCUGCUUGGCACUUUGGUGGCUUGGCCGCUCGAGAUCUAGCCAUUUAGAAUUUUUUUCUUUUUUUUCUUUCGGUGAUUGCCUGGUCGCUGCUUUCUUCUCCAACGGCCGUCGCUUAAGGAGGUUGGCCACUUGAGAUCUAAGAAUUUUUUUUUCUUUUUGACCUUUUCCUCCUUCCAUGCUUCCUUAAUCUUCCUCAAGGUAUACUUUUCUUAAUCCUUAAUCUAGGAUUUUUGAAUUUUCAUGUUU
rnacentral:lncRNA from 1 species